UACGUAGGGUGCAAGCGUUGUCCGGAAUUAUUGGGCGUAAAGAGCUCGUAGGCGGUCUGUCGCGUCGGCUGUGAAAACUUGGGGCUCAACCCCAAGCCUGCAGUCGAUACGGGCAGACUUGAGUUCGGCAGGGGAGACUGGAAUUCCUGGUGUAGCGGUGAAAUGCGCAGAUAUCAGGAGGAACACCGGUGGCGAAGGCGGGUUGCUGGGCUGACACUGACGCUGAUGUGCGAAAAGCUAGGGGAGCGAACGGG
rnacentral:rRNA from 1 species